rnacentral:rRNA from 1 species
UAUGAACGCUGGCGGCGUGCCUAAUACAUGCAAGUCGAGCGAACAGAUAAGGAGCUUGCUCCUUUGACGUUAGCGGCGGACGGGUGAGUUACACGUGGAUAACCUACCUAUAAGACUGGGAUAACUUCGGGAAACCGGAGCUAAUACCGGAUAACAUAUUGAACCGCAUGGUUCAAUAGUGAAAGGCGGCUUUGCUGUCACUUAUAGAUGGAUCCGCGCCGUAUUAGCUAGUUGGUAAGGUAACGGCUUACCAAGGCAACGAUACGUAGCCGACCUGAGAGGGUGAUCGGCCACACUGGAACUGAGACACGGUCCAGACUCCUACGGGAGGCAGCAGUAGGGAAUCUUCCGCAAUGGGCGAAAGCCUGACGGAGCAACGCCGCGUGAGUGAUGAAGGUCUUCGGAUCGUAAAACUCUGUUAUCAGGGAAGAACAAAUGUGUAAGUAACUGUGCACAUCUUGACGGUACCUGAUCAGAAAGCCACGGCUAACUACGUG